GCGGGGUCUCGGCGGCGGAGGACUGGCGGGUCAGAAGUAUAAUGACCCAGGAAAGCAGCUACGGGAAGUGGACAAUAUCAAGUAGUGAUGAAAGUGAGCAUGAAGAGCCCAGACCUGACAAGCCGUCCACAUCGUCCGUCCCCCAGGAUGGGCAGGGAGCAGUGAAAGGGCCCGUGUACGCCUGCUCAGAGGCCCGCAAGGCUGCACACAAGAGACAGCUCUCACCUGUGAAGUUCAGCGACGCAGACUCAACAUUACCCGCCAAGAGGCAGAAGACUGAGGCCACAGAAGGUCUCGGCUGGUGUCUGUCCAGCAGCGAUGACGAGCAGCAGCCAGAGACACAGCACGACCAGCCUAAGGAUAUGGUAGUCCAAGAGAAAAAACGUUCCUCCUCGCCCAGCAUGCCUACCGCCCAGCAAGUUGUCCACCGCAGCCCUCCUGCCAGCCAUGGGUCCCAGAGGGCAGAGGAUGAGUACGAGACCUCAGGGGAAGGCCAGGACAUCUGGGACAUGCUGGAUACAAGGAACCCCUUCCAAUUUUACCUCACAAGAGUCUCAGGGAUUAAGGCAAAGUACAACUCCAAGGCCCUCCACAUCAAGGAUAUUUUAUCCCCUCUGUUUGGAACACUUGUCUCUUCAGCUCAGUUUAACUACUGCUUCGACGUGGACUGGCUCAUAAAGCAGUACCCACCAGAAUUCAGGAAGAAACCAAUCCUGCUGGUGCACGGAGAUAAGAGAGAAGCCAAGGCAUGCUUGGAAGCCCAGGCAAAGCCCUAUGCAAACAUUUCCCUCUGCCAGGCAAAGUUGGAUAUUGCAUUUGGAACACACCACACGAAAAUGAUGCUCUUGCUCUACGAAGAAGGCCUCCGAGUUGUCAUCCACACCUCCAACCUCAUCCGGGAAGACUGGCACCAGAAAACCCAAGGAAUAUGGUUGAGCCCUUUAUACCCACGAGUUGACCAGGAAAACCACACAUCUGGAGAGUCAAGCACCCACUUUAAAGCUGACCUCAUCCGUUAUUUAAGGGCGUACAAUGUUCCCCCUCUCCAGGAGUGGAUAGACAUCAUCCAAGAGCACGAUCUCUCUGAAACCAAUGUUUACCUUGUCGGCUCAACCCCUGGACGCUUUCAAGGAAGUCACAAAGAUAACUGGGGACAUUUUAGGCUUAGGAAGGUUCUGCAGGCGCAUGCCCCAUCUGUACCUAAAGACGAGUGCUGGCCCAUCGUGGGUCAGUUUUCAAGCAUUGGUUCUCUGGGGCCCGAUGAGUCCAAGUGGCUGUGCUCAGAGUUUAAAGAGAGCUUGCUGGCACUGAGAGAAGGUGGCAGAACUCCAGGGAAAAGUGCAGCUCCUCUUCAUCUGAUCUAUCCUUCUGUGGAAAACGUGCGAACCAGCUUAGAAGGAUAUCCUGCUGGGGGCUCCCUUCCCUAUAGCAUCCAGACAGCGGAAAAACAGAAUUGGCUGCAUUCCUACUUUCACAAGUGGUCAGCAGAGACAUCUGGCCGAAGCAACGCCAUGCCACAUAUUAAGACGUACAUGAGGCCUUCAUCAGACUUCAGUAAACUGGCUUGGUUUCUUGUUACAAGCGCAAAUCUGUCCAAGGCCGCCUGGGGAGCACUGGAGAAGAAUGGCACCCAGCUGAUGAUCCGCUCCUAUGAGCUUGGAGUCCUUUUCCUUCCAGCAGCAUUUGGCCUGGACACCUUCAAUGUGAAGCAGAAAUUCUUCUCCAGCAACUGUGAGCCAAUGACCUCCUUUCCUGUGCCCUAUGACCUGCCCCCAGAGCUCUAUGGGAGUAAAGAUCGGCCAUGGAUUUGGAACAUUCCUUAUGUCAAAGCACCCGAUACACAUGGCAACAUGUGGGUGCCUUCUUGAGACAAGGUGCUGUGAAGUUUGAGUGUAAAACAUUGAAUGUUCUUGUUUGUACUGAAUGUUCACCUGCCUUAAAAUCUUAUUCGCACCCAUACAAAACCCUUUGCAAAAAGUCAGCUUUGGUUAUGUGUCUGAUGGUCAUUGUCAACAUUCUCACUAAGAAAGAGAAGCGUUAUCUUCUUAAUUCAGUUUUUGUAUGUUCUUGGGAUCAUGCUAUUAAACUUCAUAGUGUUUAAAAAUGCGUAUUGCCUGGAGUGAAAUGACCAAUCCCCAGCAAGCAUGCAGAAAGCAGGCAUGGUGGCUGUGCUCUUGGAACCCAGUGUGGUGAUGGGAUCCCUGAGUUUCGCUGGCCGGACAGCCUAGCCCGGAUGGUAAGCUCGAGGUUCAGCGAUGGUGCCAGCUUGACUUCGUGUUGGGUGUGUCCACCAUCCAUGGCCAGAGAUGCUCUUCCUUCACCUGCCCAGGGAAAGAACAGAAGCAUUUCUUCUCUCCACCUUGACAGUUUUCAAUCUUCCUGGAUCCCAGGAACCAACCUGCUAUGGGAAGGAAACUAGGGAAACCUCUACACUGGCAGUAGAAGCCAGCAUAGUGUCGCCAGCCCUGCUCCAGGAUACCUAAGGUCCCUGUCCACUGGCCCUCCGGCUGCAAGGCCAAAGGGAUGAUAGCACUGCUGCAGGGAGUCCGCACCAGCACCUGGAAAGCAGACGUGACACUUGGGGCCACGAGCGCACAGCAUGCACAGGCUGAGAAAGGUUCUGGCUCGACUGCCCCAGCCGAAGAAGUCCUUUCUGCCUGUGUGGAGCAUAGGGCCCCUUCUGCCCAUUGUUCCUUCCUUUUCUCACUCUUUGGGACCUCUCAGACGUACCAUACAGUGACAUUUUUCUACCUGCCGAGGACCCCGCACGAUGUGAAACAGCCAGCUUCUGCUUCUCUGUAACCGCCAGCACAGACUGCACACAGGAGUUUCCCACAUGUGAACGAGCAAGAAACCACAGCUUGGGAGGCUGUGUUUUUCCACGUGACAGAACCAGGUCGUGUUCCUGAGGUUCCCUCUAUCUCCAAUGCUUACUCACUUUUACCUCUGUCAGCCCCCAUGCCGCAGAUGAGGAGCCUAGGCUUGAAAGAAGUCAGCAGCAGGAUGUCCCACAUGAAGCAGUGGGUCUGAGACUCAGUUCUGCCCCAUGGAAGCUCAACCACACCAUGCCAGCCACACAGGGCAAGCUCUAGCUUCCUGUUCGGCAGUAGAUGUUAGAUACUCCCUGAACAGAAAUUUAACGUUGUAUGACUUUCAAGUAAACAUGGUUUCUGCACAAGACUUGGUAUGCUUAGAAUAAGAACCUGGGGCCGAUUUUGUCAUGUCUUUUUUCUUCUCCAGAAGUUGGGUUUCUAGACUAAAAACACCCUUACUAUGAAACCAUUUCUGAAUGA